GCCGGGGUAGCUCAGUGGCAGAGCAGCUGAUUCGUAAUCAGCAGGUCGUGGGUUCGAGUCCCAUCUCCGGCU
rnacentral:tRNA from 1 species